rnacentral:rRNA from 1 species
ACGGAGGGUGCAAGCGUUAUCCGGAAUCACUGGGUUUAAAGGGUGCGUAGGCGGCGGCAUAAGUCAGAAGUGAAAGUUGGCAGCUUAACUGCAAAAUUGCUUUUGAUACUGUGUUGCUUGAAUCAAGUUGAGGUUGGCGGAAUGUGACAUGUAGCGGUGAAAUGCUUAGAUAUGUCAUAGAACACCAAUUGCGAAGGCAGCUGACUAGACUUGUAUUGACGCUGAGGCACGAAAGCGUGGGGAGCGAACAGG